rnacentral:rRNA from 1 species
UACGAAGGGUGCAAACGUUGCUCGGAAUUAUUGGGCGUAAAGCGCACGUAGGCGGCUUGGCAAGUCGGAUGUGAAAUCCCCAGGCUCAACUUGGGAACUGCAUCCGAUACUGGAUGGCUUGAAUUCGGGAGAGGGAUGCAGAAUUCCAGGUGUAGCGGUGAAAUGCGUAGAUAUCUGGAGGAAUACCGGUGGCGAAGGCGGCAUCCUGGACCGGCAUUGACGCUGAUGAGCGAAAGCUAGGGGAGCAAACGGG